rnacentral:lncRNA from 1 species
AUCGUCUUGCUCUUUAUGUCCUUUGCCUUUGUGUGAAAAACUACCUGGUCAUUCUCAAGGUGUAAUGAUUUUCCCAUGUGGUACGUACUACUUCAAUAUUAAAAUAUAUUAACCAUAAAAACACAAUUUUCACAUGGAAUUUACAUAUAGGCUUCGUUUGCUGCUUUUAUUCAAGAGAACUAAAUGUUCUAAAUCGUUUUGUUUAUUUGUUAUAUACCGGGUGGGGCAAAAAAAAGUACGACUGUUUGAUUUACUAUGACUCAAAAACUAAAAGAGCUUAAUAAAUCACCCUAUAUUCCGCGAUGUUUAACUUAGAUUUUGAUAUAUGUCUGGUGCAUUUUCAUGCGAUUAUGACUGAGAUAAUUGUGUUUAAACUUACGCAAACAUUUUUGGAACCGCCAAUAAUUAGCUGAAAAGCCCCUAUUAAACUAAUUCAAUAACCGAUGAAGUCGAAGUUAUAGAAAUAUUUCUUUAUUCACAGACUUUUUAUUUUUUGUUUUACGAUGUUGGGCAAUGGAUGUGAACUUAUAAGGCCGAUUUUAUUAAAAGUUUUGUUCCUAGAAGGUAUCCGAUACCCGUGAGAUAGGUAGUCUGUAUGUUCUAAUGAGUCUAGAAGGAGCUGUCCCAUUUCACGGGCAAGAUGUUGCAAUUGUGCCGGGGGACAUGAAUUUGCUGAUGAAUAGAUGAUUGCUUUUGAACAACAAGCGUUAACGUACUGACUAUAGAGUAUAACGCGUCUUAACACAAGUUGUUUUUGUAUAUAAUGGUAUUAAUAUUUAAUAGGCCGUUUUUAGCUUAAUUCUCUCAGUUUCAAAAAUGUUACUCUUGUUCAAAUGCACGUAUCUUUGUCAAUAUGGCAUGGAAAUGUGCAUGGCAUAUAUCAAAAUUUAAGUUAGACAUCGCUGAAUGCCAAUAAACGUGUUUUAUUGUCAUUGCUCUUUUAGUUCUGAUGUUAUACCAAUUCAAAGAGUCGUACUUUUUUUUGCCCCACCCGGUAGUUAGUGUCAAAGUUCAAUUUUUCUGUUUGCCGUUUGGUCAAAACCGUAUCACGUGCCGGUCCACAAAACGUCAUGUUAAGAGGCAACCGGUCCACAAUGAAACAUUUAUUGACCGGUCAAUAAUAAAAUUGGUGCAAUACGCAUGCGAGUCAACCAUGAAGUUCCAAAGUUCAUUUUUUAAAAUUUUUAUUAAACAUUUAGGCGUUCCAUUUAUCCAGUUUUGGUUUCAAAUUAAGUUCACUCCAAUAACCGGUGAAUUAUAAAUACUUUGACAUUUAUAUACUAUAUAACAAAACACUUACUGAGAUCUCGGGAAAGCAGUGUGUUUUGUGGCCCCUCGAGGGCAACAACGGCGGGCAACAACGGCGAUCUCGGGUCCACAAAACACACUGUUGCCCUCGGUCUCAGUAAAUAAUUGAUACGUAUUCGACGAUAUUAAGUGCGACGAUAUCGUCACAGUAUAUUUGAUGGUUUGUCGCAUAUAAAUGACAGAAAUGCCGGGAGCAUUCAAUCAAUAGGGAGUUUAAGCUUCGCGUUUAUCGAGUAAACCCACGUGGUUUAUAGUAUUUAUGUGUGGCUGCGUGGCUUCCAACAGAGGCCAAAACUAAAACAGAUGCGGUGGCAUUAUAUUUCCGCGCCAUAAGCCAGAGAAACCCAGAAACACCGAGCGAAGAAGAAAUCAAAUCCCGCCUGAACAAGUUAAGCAAGCCAUGAGAACUUCAUUUUUAUAAUGUAUAUCAAUGUUUUUGUAGUUUUCGUAGUGUGACAGUUUUGUGAUUCUGUGGUGGCCGAUUCCCAUAGUUUUCCAUGACACUUUGAAGCCAUGCACGCAAUGAUCUUAAAAUAAAAAGAAAUCUCCAAAGCUUUUAUUAAUGAAUAAUAUGCUAAUCCUUGAAGCAAUCUGAUUAUGCAAUUUGUUACCCUUGUUCCAGAGGUUUAUUUUUAUUAUUUUCAUUGCGAAGGGGAGAGGAAAAAUAAACCUCUGGUUGAAAGUGGCAAUUGAUUCAUCGAGCCGCGCCAAUCAGUUUGAAUUAGGGUCAGAUCCUGACUCUGUCUCCUGAUUGGAUGAUUGUAUUAAAGCUCUCUGAUUGAUUCAAAUAAAACAUCUAUAACCAACCAGAGAGCUUUAAUACAAUCAUCCAAUCAGGAGACAGAGUCAGGAUCAGACCCUAAUUCAAACUGAUUGGCGCGGCUCGAAGAAUCAAUUGCCGCUUUCAACCAGAGGUUUAUUUCAAACCUCUGGAACCAGGGUAGCGAUUUGUUGUCUUUCAUACACUUUCGUCUCAGCGCUCAUAGGAUCGACCGCGAUUAAAAAAACAUGGCAUUUCGAGCGACAAAGCAUUUCGAGCGACAAAGUCAGUGAAACAAAGUUAAAUUUCUCGAACGAGGCGAACGAAUGUUCAUUUUAACGUAGGCUCAUAGCUUUUAUAUAAAGUUCAUAUAAAGCUUUUUAUCGAGUGUCCCUUUGAUAAAGAAAAAUAAUUUAGUACAAAUCUUUUAUACCUUAGGGCCUGUUCAUAUGGGCAAAAGUUAUCCCGGUUAACGAGAGAACUUUUCGACUAGCCAAAUACUUUUGUUCUGUUCAUAUAAAAUAAUCCCACUUACCGGAAAAAGUUUCCGGCUGUGACGUAGCACUGAACAUCAAUUGAAUUGAAAAGUUGCUGACACGACAAAAAGUUAUCCCGCUAAGCGGGAAAGUUGUGUUCAUAUGGGGAAAACAUUAUCCCGGUCACCGAGAUCUCGCCUGUCAACAAUCGAGAUCUCGGUACACGGGAAAACUUUUCGUCUCAUAUGAACGCAAUGUAACUUUUCAUAUUAUUUUCGUAACAAGGCGAGAUCUCGCUCGUAAACUUGUCGAAAAGUUUUCUCGCUAACCGGGAUAACUUCUGCCCAUAUGAACAGGCCCUUAGUGUGCUUUAUAACAAACGUACUUGCAGGGAGGUGAGUCCGGGAUUGGACGCACCGAGGGUGGCUGGACGUUUCCCGAACUCAUCGAACCUGCAAGUACGUUUGGUUUUUAUCCCAUACACCGAGCCAUACACACAUUUGUAGCUCUUCGAGAUAUAUUCGUCGAUGUAAGAAAAUAAUUCUUUAUCUACGUCUAGAUUACCUUUAGUGCAUUUUUUCUUUGGUUUUUCUUCAGUCUCAGUAUGUUAGUCACCGAAAAAAAGUUCUAUAAAGUCUAGGUUUAUUGGCUUGGCUAAAUCUUGUCGGCCAUAUUUUUGUUAUUGUUAUUGCAAGUUGCAAGCGGGUGAGUUUGGGCAAAAAGCAGAUCAUGAGCUCGACGUCAGUUCAAGAAUGUUGUCGACUCUAUGCCUUCACAGCUUGAAACAUAGUAAAAAAUAUCACCUUUAAAGAGCUCUAAAGAUAAUUUUGUCGAUCAUAUAAGCGCCAUUUCAACUAGAACAUCGCACAUUGUUUAAAAGUUCUAAAAUGACAUGAUUGCCCAAAAAAUUCAUCACGUGGUACAUAAAAUUAAUCCCCUGCGUGCAAAUCUCGAGGGACCAAUUUUCCACUUUAGCAGUUCCGAUAGUAUUUUAUUACUAAACUAUCAAUAAUUAUACACGGUGUCCCAAACAAACCAAAACUAUUGAAAUAGCGUAUUGUUAGAAUUUGAUCUUGAAUGCCCUAGUACUAAGCUGAACGCAAGGAUACGUAAAAUAUUGACAGGGUGCAUCUAUUAAAUAAAGAAAUUAAAAUAUCUUUGUAUAAAGCGCGAAUAUUAAAAUAUCGUUUGCACAUGACGUCACAGCCGCCAUGUUGGUGUUCCAAUUUAAAAUCAUUUUAAUUAGACUCUUUUGUCAGGAAAAAACAAACAUCGCCGCCAUGGCUUUUGUUGAGUAAGUCCCUGGGGAAUGAGUGCAAACGCCCCAUACGUUAUUUCAAUAGUUUUGGGGGGUUUUGGGACACCCUGUAGAUCACAAAUACGACUCCCGUAAUAUUGCUGUUAUUUUUUUCACAGGUCAUUUGUAUCACAAGGAAUGCAAUGCAGAGCAUUAUUGCCUGACCUGUUUUCACAAUAACCUGCAGAUGCCUUUGAACAAAGCGAUCACCGCUGAAGUUCUAUUAUAGUUUGCCUCGCUUUCCUGAAUACCAAAUUCUCCACCGAAUCAUACGUUAGCACGCAUUAAAACCUGUGUAAGAUCAUAGUGAAUAGGAUAGAUGGUUUGAAAACUCAUUAGAAUAACAAUAUAACUCAUUAUCUAUGUUAGUCAACGUUUAUUCAUAAAUCUGGUCCUUCACCGUCACGUGUGUAUUGUAUUUUUGCCAAAUCCACCAAUAACAAU